UUUUUUCAGCGUAAUGCUCCAUAAUCAUGGAAAUGCUACGCGAUUUAUUAUGCUGUAUGCUAUGCUUAUCUUAAAUGAUGCAUGCAUAAAAAGUAUCUCCCUCAAGGGACUCUCCUAGGGAGCUCGAGGCACUCUGUUGAGGAACUCGAUAGCACUCCAAUCUCCACCCUGUUGGGGAAUAGGCCACCCUUACUAGGAAUAACC
rnacentral:lncRNA from 1 species